rnacentral:rRNA from 1 species
UGAAUACGAGACGCUACGGCGUUGAAGCAGUCUAUGUCAUACUUCCAAGAAAAGCUCGCAAUGUCUUAAACAAAUAAUGCCUGUACCAUAACCGACACAGGUGGGUAGGUAGAGUAUACUAAGGGGCGCGAGAUAACUCUCCCUAAGGAACUCGGCAAAAUGACUCCGUAACUUCGGGAGAAGGAGUGCCUUAUUUAUAAGGUUGCAAUAACAAGAUCCAAGCAACUGUUUAUCAAAAACACAGGUCUCCGCUAAGUCGUAAGACGAUGUAUGGGGGCUGACGCCUGCCCAGUGCCAGAAGGUUAAAGAAGUUGGUUAGCAUUAGCGAAGCUGAUGACUGAAGCCCUGGUGAACGGCGGCCGUAACUAUAACGGUCCUAAGGUAGCGAUAUUCCUUGUCGGGUAAGUUCCGACCCGCACGAAAGGCGUAAUGAUUUGGAUACUGUCUCGGAGAGGGACUCGGUGAAAUAGACUUGUCUGUGAAGAUGCGGACUACCUGCACCUGGACAGAAAGACCCUAUGAAGCUUUACUGUAACUUGAAAUUGAAAUUGGACUUUAUUCGCGCAGUAUAGGUGGGAGGCUUUGAGAAUAUUCUUGCGGGAAUAUUUGAGCCAUCAGUGAGAUACCACCCUUGUAAUGUUAGAUUUCUAACUUUGUAUCAUGAUCUGGUCAAAGAACAGUUUCAGGCGGGCAGUUUGACUGGGGCGGUCGCCUCCCAAAUGGUAACGGAGGCGUACAAAGGUUUCCUCUGGACGGGUAGAGAUCGUAUCUAGAGUGUAAAGGCAUAAGGAAGCUUGACUGUGAGACCUACAAGUCGAGCAGGGACGAAAGUCGGCCUUAGUGAUCUGACGGUGCUGAGUGGAAAGGCCGUCACUCAACGGAUAAAAGUUACUCUAAGGAUAACAGGCUGAUCUCCCCCAAGAGUUCACAUCGACGGGGAGGUUUGGCACCUCGAUGUCGGCUCAUCGCAUCCUGGGGCGGUAGUACGUCCCAAGGGUUGGGCUGUUCGCCCAUGAAAGCGGUACGCGAGCUGGGUUCAGAACGUCGUGAGACAGUUCGGUCCAUAUCCGGUGUAGGCGUUAGAAUAUUGAGAGGAGCCUUCUUUAGUACGAGAGGACCGAGAAGGACAUACCUCUGGUGUACCAGUUAUCGUGCCAACGGUAAACGCUGGGUAGCUAUGUAUGGAGAGGAUAACCGCUGAAAGCAUCUAAGUGGGAAGCCCACCUCAAGAUAAG